rnacentral:rRNA from 1 species
GACGAACGCUGGCGGCGUGCCUAAUACAUGCAAGUAGAACGCUGAAGCUUGGUGCUUGCACCGAGCGGAUGAGUUGCGAACGGGUGAGUAACGCGUAGGUAACCUGCCUGGUAGCGGGGGAUAACUAUUGGAAACGAUAGCUAAUACCGCAUAAUAGCAGUUGUUGCAUGACAACUGUUUAAAAGGUGCAAUUGCAUCACUACCAGAUGGACCUGCGUUGUAUUAGCUAGUUGGUGGGGUAACGGCUCACCAAGGCGACGAUACAUAGCCGACCUGAGAGGGUGAUCGGCCACACUGGGACUGAGACACGGCCCAGACUCCUACGGGAGGCAGCAGUAGGGAAUCUUCGGCAAUGGACGGAAGUCUGACCGAGCAACGCCGCGUGAGUGAAGAAGGUUUUCGGAUCGUAAAGCUCUGUUGUAAGAGAAGAACGAGUGUGAGAGUGGAAAGUUCACACUGUGACGGUAUCUAC